UACGUAGGAGGCGAGCGUUGUCCGGAAUUACUGGGCGUAAAGAGCGCGUAGGCGGCGCGGUACGACCGCUGUGAAAGCCCCCAGCUCAACUGGGGAGGGUCAGCGGUAACGGCCGUGCUAUGAGUGCAGGAGAGGGAAGUGGAACUCCGGGAGUAGCGGUGAAAUGCGUAGAGACCCGGAGGAACACCAGUGGCGAAGGCGGCUUCCUGGUCUGCGACUGACGCUGUGGCGCGAAAGCUAGGGGAGCGAACCGG
rnacentral:rRNA from 1 species